UGCCAGCAGCCGCGGUAAGACGGAGGGUCCUAGCGUUGUUCGGAAUUACUGGGCGUAAAGCGCGCGUAGGCGGCUUUUUAAGUCAGAUGUGAAAGUCCACGGCUCAACCGUGGAAGUGCAUUUGAAACUGGGAGGCUUGAGUAUUGGAGGGGGUGGUGGAAUUCCCGGUGUAGAGGUGAAAUUCGUAGAUAUCGGGAGGAAUACCGGUGGCGAAGGCGACCACCUGGCUCGAUACUGACGCUCAUGUGCGAAAGCGUGGGGAGCAAACAGGAUUAGAUA
rnacentral:rRNA from 1 species